GAUGAACGCUGGCGGCGUGCCUAAUACAUGCAAGUCGAGCGAACAGACGAGGAGCUUGCUCCUCUGACGUUAGCGGCGGACGGGUGAGUAACACGUGGAUAACCUACCUAUAAGACUGGGAUAACUUCGGGAAACCGGAGCUAAUACCGGAUAAUAUAUUGAACCGCAUGGUUCAAUAGUGAAAGACGGUUUUGCUGUCACUUAUAGAUGGAUUCGCGCCGCAUUAGCUAGUUGGUAAGGUAACGGCUUACCAAGGCAACGAUGCGUAGCCGACAUGAGAGGGUGAUCAGCCACACUGGAACUGAGACACGGUCCAGACUCCUACGGGAGGCAGCAGUAGGGAAUCUUCCGCAAUGGGCGAAAGCUUGACGGAGCAACGCCGCGUGAGUGAUGAAGGUCUUCGGAUCGUAAAACUCUGUUAUUAGGGAAGAACAAAUGUGUAAGUAACUAUGCACGUCUUGACGGUACCUAAUCAGAAAGCCACGGCUAACUACGUG
rnacentral:rRNA from 1 species